GGGUGCGUAACGCGUAUGCAACCUGCCUUAUGCAGGGGGAUAGCCCAUGGAAACGUGGAUUAAUACCCCAUAGAUCAGCAGUCCUGCAUGGGACAACUGGUAAAGGUAUUCCGGCAUAAGAUGGGCAUGCGUCUGAUUAGCUAGAUGGUAGGGUAACGGCCUACCAUGGCGACGAUCAGUAGGGGUUCUGAGAGGAUUACCCCCCACACUGGUACUGAGACACGGACCAGACUCCUACGGGAGGCAGCAGUGAGGAAUAUUGGUCAAUGGGCGGAAGCCUGAACCAGCCAUCCCGCGUGAAGGAUGAAGGCCUUAUGGGUUGUAAACUUCUUUUCUGAUGGAAGAAAUUCCCCGACGCGUCGGGGUUUGCCGGUACAUCAGGAAUAAGCAUCGGCUAACUCCGUGCCAGCAGCCGCGGUAAUACGGAGGAUGCAAGCGUUAUCCGGAUUUAUUGGGUUUAAAGGGUGCGCAGGUGGCUUAGUAAGUCAGUGGUGAAAGUCUGCCGCUUAACGGUAGGACUGCCAUUGAUACUGCUAGGCUUGAGUUUGGAUGAGGUAGGCGGAAUGUGUAGUGUAGCGGUGAAAUGCAUAGAUAUUACACAGAACACCGAUUGCGAAGGCAGCUUACUAAUCCGCAACUGACACUGAGGCACGAAAGCGUGGGGAUCAAACAGGAUUAGAUACCCUGGUAGUCCACGCUGUAAACGAUGAUCACUCGCUGUUUGCGAUACACAGUAAGCGGCUAAGCGAAAGCGUUAAGUGAUCCACCUGGGGAGUACGAUCGCAAGGUUGAAACUCAAAGGAAUUGACGGGGGGCCCGCCUGGGGAGUACGAUCCAAGGUUGAAACUCAAGGAAUUGACGGGGGCCCGCACAAGCGGAGGAACAUGUGGUUUAAUUCGAUGAUACGCGAGGAACCUUACCUGGGCUUAAAUGGGGAGUGACAGCUGCUGAGAGGUGGUUUUCUUCGGACACUCUUCAAGGUGCUGCAUGGUUGUCGUCAGCUCGUGCCGUGAGGUGUCGGGUUAAGUCCCAUAACGAGCGCAACCCUUACUGUUAGUUGCCAGCGGGUAGAGCCGGGAACUCUAACGGGGCUGCCACCGUAAGGUGAGAGGAAGGUGGGGAUGACGUCAAAUCAGCACGGCCCUUAUGUCCAGGGCUACACACGUGUUACAAUGGCCGGUACAAAGGGCAGCUACCCCGCGAGGGGAUGCUAAUCUCGAAAGCCGGUCUCAGUUCGGAUCGAAGUCUGCAACCCGACUUCGUGAAGUUGGAUUCGCUAGUAAUCGCGCAUCAGCCAUGGCGCGGUGAAUACGUUCCCGGGCCUUGUACACACCGCCCGUCAAUGCCAUGGGAGCCGGGGGUACAGUGAAGUCUGCAACCGCGACGGAGCGGCCUAGGGUAAACUCUGAAAAGGUGGGGCU
rnacentral:rRNA from 1 species